GAUGGUGUAGCUCUGUGCGGGAGAGCGGCUGACUGGUUAUUCAACUGGUCGGUGGUUCGAGUCCACCCAUCAUCGCCA
rnacentral:tRNA from 1 species